CCUACGGGGUGCAGCAGUGGGGAAUAUUGGACAAUGGGCGAAAGCCUGAUCCAGCAAUGCCGCGUGUGUGAAGAAGGUCUUCGGAUUGUAAAGCACUUUCGACGGGGACGAUGAUGACGGUACCCGUAGAAGAAGCCCCGGCUAACUUCGUGCCAGCAGCCGCGGUAAUACGAAGGGGGCUAGCGUUGCUCGGAAUUACUGGGCGUAAAGCGCGCGUAGGCGGAUAGAUAAGUCAGAGGUGAAAUCCCGGGGCUCAACCCCGGAAUUGCCUUUGAUACUGUUUAUCUUGAGUGCAGAAGAGGUAAGUGGAAUUCCGAGUGUAGAGGUGAAAUUCGUAGAUAUUGGGAAGAACACCGGUGGCGAAGGCGGCAACCUGGCUCGAUACUGACGCUGAGGCGCGAAAGCGUGGGGAGCAAACAGGAUUAGAUACCCUCGUAGUC
rnacentral:rRNA from 1 species